GUCUAAUCUAUUUUGUAUGGUGUGACAUACUGUAUGCCAGCUACUACCUGGGGUGGAUUUAGAGACUUUUUAUUUUAAGUUGCUAUUAGCUUGAGUGCUAUCACUACUUUACUCUUAAGCUUUGAAAUAUCUGUUAUACUUGCUAUUGGUGAUUUGUAUAGUAGGAGGAUAAAAUAAAUUCUGAUCUUUUAAUCUUAUUUGCCCUGUCUCUGUUUCUAGUUUUAAUUUCUUAUCAAUAUGGCUAAAAUUUGUGGUAGUAUAAAAACUAUGCAUAUCUGAAGCAAUUUUACUAAAACUAAUCUUUCUUUUCCCACUGCUUUAUUUGGUAGAUUAGCAAGUGGCCCCCCAGAUCUAAGAUGCUGUUUAUUACAUCAGAAACUACAGAUGUUAAAUUGUUGUAUUGAAAGAAAGAAGGCACGUGAUGAGAAGAGAAAGAUAAGUAUUUCAGAUAAUGUGACUAAUACAUAUCCAGGGGAUGCUGGAAGACCUGGAGACCAGCUGGGGCCAGACAAUCUAAAAGAUAUGGACAAGGAAAAGGGAGAGGUGGGAAAAUCUUGGGAUUCUUGGAGUGAUAGCGAAGAAGAAUUUUUUGAAUGCCUAAGUGAUACUGAAGAAUUUAAGGGAAAUGGACAAGAGAGUGG